rnacentral:rRNA from 1 species
AGGAGACAGGUGGUGCAUGGUUGUCGUCAGCUCGUGUCGUGAGAUGUUGGGUUAAGUCCCGCAACGAGCGCAACCCUUGAUUUUAGUUGCCAGCACGUAAAGGUGGGCACUCUAGAAUGACUGCCGGUGACAAACCGGAGGAAGGCGGGGAUGACGUCAAAUCAUCAUGCCCCUUAUGACCUGGGCUACACACGUACUACAAUGGCCGGUACAACGGGCUGCGAAACCGCGAGGUGGAGCGAAUCCCAACAAAGCCGGUCUCAGUUCGGAUUGCAGGCUGCAACUCGCCUGCAUGAAGUCGGAAUUGCUAGUAAUCGCGGAUCAGCAUGCCGCGGUGAAUACGUUCCCGGGUCUUGUACACACCGCCCGUCACACCACGAGAGUUUACAACACCCGAAGUCGGUGGGGUAACCCGCAAGGGGGCCAGCCGCCGAAGGUGGGGUAGAUGAUUGGGGUGAAGUCGUAACAAGGUAGCCGUAUCGGAAGGUGCGGCUGGAUCACCUCCUUU